GUGCUCACUUUGGCAGCACAAAUACUAAAAUUGGACCGAUACAGAGAAGAUUAGCAUGGCUCCUGUGUAAGGAUGACACGUAAAUUUGUGAAGUGUUCCAAAUUUUU
ensembl:snRNA U6 U6 spliceosomal RNA